UCAAAUGCUUUCUCAGCAUCUAAUGAAAUGAUCAUGUGGUUCUGUUCUUUCAGUUUGUUUAUAUAAUGGAUCAUGUUGAUGGUUUUCCGUAUAUUAAACCAUCCCUGCAUGCCUGGGAUGAAGCCUACUUGAUCAUGGUGGAUGAUUGUUUUGAUGUGCUCUUGAAUUCGGUUUGCCAGAAUUUUAUUGAGUAUUUUUGCGUCGAUAUUCAUAACGGAAAUUGGUCUGAAGUUCUCUUUCUUUGUUGUGUCUUUGUGUGGUUUAGGUAUAAGAGUAAUUGUGGCUUCAUAGAAGGAAUUUGGUAGUGCUCCAUCUGUUUCAAUUUUGUGGAAUAGUUUGGAUAAUAUUGGUAUGAGGUCUUCUAUGAAGGUUUGAUAGAAUUCUGCACUAAACCCGUCUGGACCUGGGCUCUUUUUGGUUGGGAGACCUUUAAUGACUGCUUCUAUUUCCUUAGGAGUUAUGGGGUUGUUUAACUGGUUUAUCUGUUCCUGAUUUAACUUCGAUACCUGGUAUCUGUCUAGGAAAUUGUCCAUUUUCUGAAGAUUUUCAAGUUUUGUUGAAUAUAGGUUUUUAUAGUAAGAUCUGAUGAUUUUUUCAAUUUCCUCUGAAUCUGUAGUUAUGUCUCCCUUUUCAUUUCUGAUUUUGUUAAUUUGGACGCACUCUCUGUGUCCUCUCGUGAGUCUGGCUAAGGGUUUAUCUAUCUUGUUGAUUUUCUCAAAGAACCAACUUUUGGUUCUGUUGAUUCUUUCUAUGGUCCUUUUUGUUUCUACUUGGUUGAUUUCAGCUCUGAGUUUGAUUAUUUCCUGCCUUCUACUCCUCCUGGGUGUAUUUGCUUCUUUUUGUUCUAGAGCUUUUAGGUGUGCUGUCAAGCUGCUGACAUAUGCUCUUUCCUGUUUCUUUCUGCAGGCACUCAGCGCUAUGAGUUUUCCUCUUAGCACAGCUUUCAUUGUGUCCCAUAAGUUUGGGUAUGUUGUAUCUUCAUUUUCAUUAAAUUCUAAAAAGUUUUUAAUUUCUUUAUUUCUUCCUUGACCAGGUUAUCAUUGAGUAGAGCAUUGUUCAAUUUCCACGUAUAUGUGGGCAUUCUUCCCUUAUUGUUAUUGAAGACCAGUUUUAGGCCGUGGUGGUCCGAUAGCACGCAUGGGAUUAUUUCUAUCUUUCUGUACCUGUUGAGGCCCGUUUUUUGACCAAUUAUAUGGUCAAUUUUGGAGAAAGUACCAUGAGGAGCUGAGAAGAAGGUAUAUCCUUUUGCUUUAGGAUAGAAUGUUCUAUAAAUAUCCGUUAAGUCCAUUUGGCUCAUGACUUCUCUUAGUCUGUCGACAUCACUGUUUAAUUUCUGUUUCCAUGAUCUGUCCAUUGAUGAGAGUGGGGUGUUGAAAUCUCCCACUAUUAUUGUGUGAGGUGCAAUGUGUGUUUGAGCUUUAUUAAGGUUUCUUUUACGUAUGUAGGUGCCCUUGUAUUUGGGGCAUAGAUAUUUAGGAUUGAGAGUUCAUCUUGGUGGAUUUUUCCUUUGAUGAAUAUGAAGUGUCCUUCCUUAUCUUUUUUGAUGACUUUUAGUUGGAAAUUGAUUUUAUUUGAUAUUAGAAUGGCUACUCCAGCUUGCUUCUUCUGACCAUUUGCUUGGAAAGUUGUUGUCCAGCCUUUCACUCUGAGGUAGUGUCUGUCUUUGUCUCUGAGGUGUGUUUCCUGUAGGCAGCAGAAUGCAGGGUCCUCAUUGCAUAUCCAGUUUCUUAAUCUAUGUCUUUUUAUUGGGGAGUUCAGGCCAUUGAUAUUGAGAGAUAUUAAGGAAUAGUGAUUAUUGCUUCCCGUUAUAUUCAUAUUUGGAUGUGAGGUUAUGUUUGUGUGCUUUCAUUCUCUUUGUUUUGUUGCCAAGACGAUUAGUUUCUUGCUUCUUCGAGGGUAUAGCUUGCCUCCUUAUGUUGGGCUUUACCAUUUAUUAUCCUUUGUAGUGCUGGAUUUGUAGAAAGAUAUUGUGUAAAUUUGGUUUUGUCAUGGAAUAUCUUGGUUUCUCCAUCAAUGUUAAUUGAGAGUUUUGCAGGAUACAGUAACCUGGGCUGGCAUUUGUGUUCUCUUAGGGUCUGUAUGACAUCAGUCCAGGAUCUUCUGGCCUUCAUAGUUUCUGGCGAGAAGUCUGGUGUGAUUCUGAUAGGUCUCCCUUUAUAUGUUACUUGACCUUUUUCCCUUACUGCUUUUAAUAUUCUUUCUUUAUUUUGUGCGUUUGGUGUUUUGACAAUUAUGUGACGGGAGGUGUUUCUUUUCUGGUCCAAUCUAUUUGGAGUUCUGUAGGCUUCUUGUAUGUCUAUGUAUAUCUCUUUUUUUAGGUUAGGGAAGUUUUCUUCUAUGAUUUUGUUGAAGAUAUUUACUGGUCCUUUGAGCUGGGAGUCUUCACUCUCUUCUAUACCUAUUAUCCUUAGGUUUGAUCUUCUCAUUGAGUCCUGGAUUUCCUGUAUGUUUUGAACCAGUAGCUUUUUCCGCUUUACAUUAUCUUUGACAGUUGAGUCAAUGAUUUCUAUGGAAUCUUCUGCUCCUGAGAUUCUCUCUUCCAUCUCUUGUAUUCUGUUGGUGAAGCUUGUAUCUACAGCUCCUUGUCUCUUCUUUUGGUUUUCUAUAUCCAGGGUUGUUUCCAUGUGUUCUUUCUUGAUUGCUUCUAUUUCCAUUUUUAAUUCCUUCAACUGUUUGAUUGUGUUUUCCUGGAAUUCUUUCAGGGAUUUUUGUGUCUCCUCUCUAUGGGCUUCUACUUGUUUAUUUAUGUUUUCCUGGAAUUCUUUCAGGGAUUUUUGUGUCUCCUCUCUAUGGGCUUCUACUUGUUUAUUUAUGUUUUCCUGGAAUUCUUUCAGGGAUUUUUGCGAUUCUUUCAGGCAUUUUUGCGAUUCCUCUCUGUAGGCUUCUACUUGUUCUCUAAGGGAGUUCUUCACGUCUUUCUUGAAGUCCUCCAGCAUCAUGAUCAAAAAUGAUUUUGAAACUAGAUCUUGCUUUUCUGGUGUGUUUGGAUAUUCCAUGUUUGUUUUGAUGGGAGAAUUGGGCUCCGAAGGUGCCAUGUAGUCCUGGUUUCUGUUGCUUGGGUUCCUGCGCUUGCCUCUCGCCAUCAGAUUAUCUCUAGUGUUACUUUGUUCUGCUAUUUCUGACAGUGGCUAGACUAUCCUAUAAGCCUGUGUGUCAGGAGUGCUGUAGACCUGUUUUCCUCUCUUUCAGUCAGUUAUGGGGACAGAGUGUUCUGCUUUCGGGCGUGUAGUUUUUCCUCUCUACAGGUCUUCAGCUGUUCCUGUGGGCCUGUGUCUUGAGUUCACCAGGCAACUUUCUUGCAGCAGAAAAGUUGGUCUUACCUGUGGUCCCGAGGCUCAAGUUCGCUCGUGGGGUGCUGCCCUCGGGCUCUCUGCAGCGGCAGCAACCAGGAAGACCUGUGCUGCCAUUUCCGGGAGCUUCAGUGCACCAGGGUUCCAGAUGGUCUUUGGCUUUUUCCUCUGGCGUCCGAGAUGUGUGUGCAGAGAGCAGUCUCUUCUGGUUUCCCAGGCUUGUCUGCCUCUCUGAAGGUUCAGCUCUCCCUCCCACGGGAUUUGGGUGCAGAGAACUGUUAUCCGGUCUGUUUCCUUCAGGUUCUGGUGGUGUCUCAGGCACAGGGGUCCUGCCGCUCCUGGGCCCUCCCCCACGGGAGCCCAGAGGCCUUAUAUAGUUUCCUCUUGGGCCAGGGAUGUGGGCAGGGGUGAGCAGUGUUGGUGGUCUCUUCUGCUUUGCAGCCUCAGGAGUGCCCACCUGACCAGGCGGUUGGGUCUCUCUCUCACAGGGUCUGGGGGCAGAGAGCUGCUGCGGGCCGGGAUCCGAGGGUCGAGGGAGCUAAUGAGAGAGCAAGUCUGAGAACUAAUGUGAGAGCAAGUGAGAGAGCAUGAGAAGAGAAUGUGAAAAAUGAGUGAAGAGAGAAUGUGAGGUGUGUAUGAAGAUUGCCUAUCAGUUUGUACCCGAAGAGUAGUAUGUGGAUAUUUAUUAUGCGCCUUCCAGAUACCCCUGCUUCCGGUUGAGAACUCUGAUCCUGUGACAGAGGGCCAGGAAAUGCUGAAAGAAAGGCUGCUCCCCUGAGGACAAAGGAUAAAACUUUUUGGCCUAGACCUCCUAAUUUAUCUUUUCACCUGAAGCCUUAAUAUUCAAAUUUUCUUACUGGGAUAUGAUUAUGGUCCUGGUGAACUUCUUGUCUCUUGGAUGCUCAAUCAGUUCUUUGUUGUCACAAACUUUUUGAGCUUACUCCAGUCAAUGGGACUUAUUCAUACCUUCAAAUUUCCUGAACUUUACAGAUUUCCAACAUUUGUGGCAAACUUAGUGACAAAAGCAAUGAAUGUUGAGCACUUCCCUGGUGUCCAGUGCAUAUCGACCUGUGGUUUUAUUGAUAUGAUAAGUCCCUAGGAGUUACUCUAUGAAAGUAGGACUGUACUCUCAGGAGCCCUGCGUGCCCUCACUUAACUUUGUCAUCUUUGUGGGCUUCUACUCUGCUGCCCUGAGAAUAACUGAAAACUAAUAGAAUUGAUGUGUAGUGUCCCAUUACCUUUGUCAUUGUUAGGAUAUUAGUAGAAUAGGUUUGAUUGAAAUAUACUCUCAAGAAUAUUACAAAACCAUUGCCUCUUAUGUACCAUCUGGAUGAAGUACCAAGUUCACAGACAGUUCUUCACAAACUUCCCAAGGCCAGCAAAUUGGAGCAUGAAGAAAGCCAAGUCCAAGGCAUUCAAAACCAGCAUCCUCACCAAUGCCCCUAUGAAAGGCUUUGCUAAAAAAAGGGAGGUUCGGAGAUAGAUAGAUCAUACACUCAGAGAAGAUUGUGCCAGGAGAAUUGGGGAAGGAUUGUAGGAGAGAGUAAUUAGGUGUCAGUAGUCAGUGAGCAGAACGUAAAAUGAAUAAGAUAAAAUAUAUAAAUAGAAAUAAAAUAAAGUUCUUUAACAAAAUGGGACACAAUGUAUAGCUGAACUAACUCUACUAUGUUUACACUAGCAAAUGCUUUAACAUUUAGAGAGAGAAGGUGUGAUAAAGUAGGAUGCCCUUGUCAUUUAUAUAUACUAUGUACAGAGCAAAGACAAAUAAUGUGGAGAACACGCAGAACAAAGAUCCACUGUUCCCUCACAUCUGUGUGCCUCUGCUUCCCUUUAUCAGGACUGUGGAAGCCUCUGCUCAUCCAGGUCUCAGGGCUCAACCAAAAUGCAGUCUCCUAUCAUCUCUGGCCAAUGCUCUUGUUUUCCCAACAAAACUCUGCCUCAGGCUGCAGAGGCACUGAAGGGCCAGCCUUCACCUUCAAGGUGCAACCACUCUUUCAGCCUUUCCAGGCUCUCUGUUACUCCACUGGAGGCUUCAGCAGAGGCCUUUCAUUUCAAUAACAGAAACUUACCUUAUCCAAAACAUGGGGAAGCCAUUCUACACUCCUGAUUGGCUGGUUACCUGAGAACAAACAACAUAGCUCUCUUCUUUAUGCCUUUUUCCUGAUUUGAAAGUAAAUAAUGUGAUCAUCUGUGGUGUUGGUUGUAAGAAUAAAAUCCUUAACAUGAAUAAUAGGACCAUGCAGAGCAUGGGCUUCACAUUCUAUGUACAAAGUGAAUAGCUAGAGGGAAUUACCAAAGAAAACAAUAAGAAUCCUAACAACAAUUACAAAAAUACUGAAACGAAAUAAAACAAAAAUAAAAGCAAAAACAAAAAACCUUUGGGUGCUGGAAUUAAAGGCAUGUAUUAACUCUGACUAGCUUUGUAGGUAUUUCCAAUAAAAAGCAAACAAACAAACAGCUGCAUUAUAGUUGCAGCAGUUGCAGGAAAGAAAGCUGGGAGAUGUCCUUUGAUGCUGACCCAGUGCUGUGAUUCUGUAGCAACAACUUCCUUGGGAAUAGGAACCUCUAUGCAGUGGGAUCCCUUGCUGGGCCUGUCAUCUCAAAAAUAGGAGCUUCCCUAAUCCAAAACCUUGGAAUCCAGUUUACUUCAGGCCAGGAAUGAAGUCAACCAUCAUUAGUGAAAGAGCAAGGUAAAACUUACAUAGGAAAAAUAUGUGCCUUAAUCAAAAAAGAUCCUCAACUUCUAAGGCCUCCACCAUCUCCACCUCUCUCUUUUGAUCUUUGCAUAGUGAUGUUGUAUAACUCCAGAUGGUAGUAAAAGGCAGAGUUCUUCCCAGAAAAGUCACACAUGAUUUUCACCCUGACAUCUGUGAGGUUAGGUGGCAUUGUAUCACAGAUGCAGCACACCCAGGAUAAGAACACAGAAGCCACAGAUGACAAUGCCAAAUGGAUUCCUUCCUGAACUUAUGGACCCAUUAAAAUUGAGGUUUAGCCUAACCUUAGGCCAUUCCACUACCUGCCCAUCCCCUUGAUUUUUAUGUUUGCUAUGAGUAAAAGAUUGGAGUGUGGCCCCAAAUAUCCUCAUGAUUGGACUUGGAAACUCAGGAAAAAUGAUAUUGGAGAAGGGAUGGCUAUGUGGUUACAAUGUGGUAACACAAGGUCCAGGUUGACGUUUGCUCACUGAUGUCAAAUUUAAUUGUCUUGUUAUAUUUGUGAGAGGAUGUUCAAAUUAGUAUAUAAAAGGUACAGAAAUUUAUUAUUUUGUGUGUGUCCUGUUGUUGAUCCCUAUGUUCCCAACAAAAAGGUUUUAUUGUAAAAAAUAGGAUUAUAGACCAUUGAUUUUGUGAAAUACAUGGAUGUGUAAAUGGAAACAAUGUCUGCUAUCAAGGACUGCACAGUAAGCAAAUAUUUCCAGGUUUUAAACAAUCAAAGGCAUAGAAGAAAGAUACUGGCCUCUAGAAAAAGGGAAAACCUUAGGAAUCAAAAUGUGUGUCACAUGCAUUGUCUCCGGUAGUAGAUUUACUUUUAAGAAAAAACUCCCUCAUUCAUGGUCCCUAGAGAUUUGGGUGCUAAGAAAAAUCUCUUCUCUAAUUCAGGGUUAUAAGCAACUCUCCCCAGCAAAAGCAUUGAUGACUUCUAAUGAAGCAGAGAGAAAUAUCUAGCUUUGGAAUAGAGGUUGCCAAAUGAUAUUCUUGGUGACACAUGAGAGACUGGAGGAAAGGGCCCCACAGAAAUUGAUCAAUUUGGGGAGAGCUAGUUAGCAGGUAGGCCAUGGAAUUUCCCAGUGACAUCAUCAGUAAGCCCUUCAGUGGACAAUCUAUUGUAUCUAAGAGAUCCCUAGAAUCUUCUGUGAUGUCACCAGUGUUGUGGUGACACCAACUGCCUUUAGAAUAUUCCUUCAGUUCCCUUUGGGUUCACAAAUAGGCAUGUUUCGCCAGCUGCUCAGGCUAUUUUGGAAGGAAAGUAGAAAUCAAGGAGAGACCACACCAAGGCAGAAGGCAGAUCAGGUCCUCUCUAGAAAAACAGGAAAGAUGAAAUAAUUCUGGGGAAGGCUUGGUGAGUCCUGGGCAGAGUUGGGGAACUUCCUCGAGGAGGUAGGUUUGAGAUGUACCUUCUAAGACUAGGCCUUACAAGUGGGACCCUUCGGCUUUCUCAAAGGUAAACCAAGAGUCAGGAGUUCCUGAUCAUUAAUUUGAGAGAAAGCCUGAAAUUGAGUCAACCUCCUUUGUACUUGACCCUGAGCUCCUUGGAUUAGCAUUGGUUCUGUCAACAGCUGGAAGAACCUGGUCACACUUGCUGCAUCUAAGUGAGCUAUCAAGGGACCGUUUAUUGUGACCUAGAAAUGGUGAAUGUGGUAACAAAUUCUGGACAUGUGUAAUUCCCAAACAGGUAUUUCACAGUCUCCACAUACUCCAGUACAGAGCAUCUUUGCAGAACCAUAUCUCCUCAGCCUUUUAAAGGGUCCUUAUUUCAAAAGAAAUGUUUGCUGAUUUGUGUAGAAAUAUUUCCUUGGAAGAAUUGUUAUUGGAUUCUCACUGUUGUGUUUUUACUCCAGUCUUUGUGUUUCCCACAUUCUUCUCUCCCCCCUCACUUUUUAAAUUUCAAAAAUUUUUGGAUGGUUUUUUUUUUUACAUUUCACCUAAUUAUGAAAUCAUGAGUUCAGAUGGUUAUUCAUUCCUUGGGCCAUGCCCUA